rnacentral:lncRNA from 1 species
GGUCUAGACGCACAGUCUGUAACCUCUGGGAGGAGGUCCAGGAAUGGAACCAUCCGAGAUGGACUCUCUAAUAUUUUCUGGGAGGAAUCAAGGGACUCCAAUGCUGGAAACAAGGCCCCUGGAGGACCUCAGGGUGGUGCUGACGGCCCUUUGUGACUCAGGGACUCACCGGUGUCCGCCCAGGCAGUUCCCCUUUCCGUCGGCCUCAGGGAACUGCUCAGAUCUUCUCAUGAGAGGAAUCCCGGCUGCUCCACAGACAGGUGCCAGCGUUCAGACCCUGAGGCUGCCUCUGGCUCCACAAGUGUGGAUGUGCCCAGGCAGGUCUCAGGACGGAGCCUCGAGAAGCAGGAAAGGCCGUGUGGAUGGAGCCCCUGGGGACGGAGAGGAGGAGGAAGAUGGACUGGGUCGAGCAGAGGAGUCAUCUGAUUCACCGUACAGGACAACGUCCAGCCUUCACGCCGGGACGUCCUCCAGGGACGCCGUCGGGAGUCACAGGCUUCAGGAAGGUAGGUGCUUCGUCUGUAACGUCUUUAGCCUGAAAGGAAGCAGCCUUUAAGGAAAUCUGGAAUGUAAACAUGAGCCUUUGCCCAGAAAAGAAACUUACGGACUUGGAGAACAGACUUGUGGUUGCAGAGGGGGAAGGAGUGGGAUGGACGGGGAGUCUGGGGUUAACAGAUGCAAACUAUUGCCUGUGGAAUAGAAAAGCAAUGAGAUCCUGCUGUGCAGCACAGGGAACUAUGUCCAGUCACUUGGGAUAGACCAUGAUGGAGGAUAAUGUGAGAAAAAGAAAUUAUAUAUGUAUGAUUGAGUCACUUUGCUGUACAGUAGAAAUGGACAGAAUACUGUAAAUCUACUAUAAUGGAAACAAUAAAAAUACUAAAUUUAACA